GAUUGAUUUUUCCUGAAAAAUAUAACAAAAAGAAGCCAUUACAUGUUAACAGAGGCGAUAUUUUCCUGAACAAUAGGCUUAGCGAAUAUGCAAAAUGUUAUGUAGGUCUAACUUUUGCUCUCCCUUCCCUCCCAUUAUUUUACUAGAUGGUUGAAGUUUAAGAGGCCAAAAGCAAUUAUGACUUACGAGAAGAGGCCUUCUGUUUUCCUAAUAAGUGCAAAGCAAAGUACAUGUUUUCCAAGGAGAAGAGAAUGGAAGCAGGUCUUUAUGGCUCGGCCAUGGUGAUUGAACUCAAUUCCUUAAUUGAAGCAAAACUGUGGCUCAAAAGGAAGAAGAAAACAGUAAGUGGAUUGCCAAGAUAGAAGAGAGGCUACAGUUAAUGCAGGACUCUGUAACCCAGGUGAUUGAAGAUUUCUCUCCCUUUGCCAAGCUGAGUUGUUCUGACAGAGUUCAAUGUCCCCGAAUUCAUCGAGUAUGAAGGUAUUGGGGAUCUGAGGAUUCAUUUGAAAUACUAUGUGUGCUGAAGAUGUCACGGUACGUCGAAGACAAGUCCCUCAUGAUUCAAACAUUCCACGAAAGCUUAACUGGACCUCAGCUCAAAGUACUGGCAAAAUCUUCAUUUUCAACUCUACCUGGAGUUACCACAGGAACUGCUCAUUGAAAUUUGGUGAUCACUUCUGAAAGUAGUCACUCAGUAGGCCAAGAUGCACUUUUUGAUCCAGUCAAUCACAAAGAAAGAGAAGCAAAGGCUGAUACUUUCGGUGGCAGGGUAAUGCAAAUUGAUGGCACAUCAGUCAUAUAUAGAGCAUACGACAGGCUUUUGGGCUAAAGCAUUUCAACAAAUGGAUCAAUCAAAUUUUAUCCCCCAGAUACUACAACUCACUUCUUCCCAUUCAGUAACAACCUGAGGUGUAAGGUUAACAUCAAGAUCAACUGCCUUAUGAAUGUAAUCUGCAACCAUAGGUAUUAUCAUUGUCCCAAACAACA